rnacentral:rRNA from 1 species
AGGUCAAGUGAAGAAGGGCGCACGGUGAAUGCCUUGGCACUGGAAGCCGAUGAAGGACGCGACUAACCGCGAAAGUCUUCGGGGAGCCGUAAGUAGGCUUUGAUCCGGAGGUCUCCGAAUGGGGGAACCCAGCAUGUGCAGACAUGCUAUCCUUAAGUGAAUACAUAGCUUAAGGAGGGAACACGCAGUGAACUGAAACAUCUAAGUAGCU